UACGGAGGAUGCGAGCGUUAUCCGGAUUUAUUGGGUUUAAAGGGUGCGUAGGCGGGCUUUUAAGUCAGCGGUAAAAAUUCGGGGCUCAACCCCGUCCGGCCGUUGAAACUGGGGGCCUUGAGUGGGCGAGAAGAAGGCGGAAUGCGUGGUGUAGCGGUGAAAUGCAUAGAUAUCACGCAGAACCCCGAUUGCGAUGGCAGCCUUCCGGCGCCCUACUGACGCUGAGGCACGAAAGUGCGGGGAUCGAACAGG
rnacentral:rRNA from 1 species